ensembl:lncRNA uncharacterized LOC103092132
UGUGACUCUCUAGAACAUGGCAACCAUGUAAUCUUCCUAUCUGGAGCAGCACCGACCCAUUUUCCUGAUGAGAAACUGUGUUUAGCAUGUGGCUCUCUAGAACUUGGCAACCAUGUAAUCUUCCUAUCUGGAGCAGCACCGACCCGUUUUCCUGAUGAGAAACUGUGUUUAGGAUGUGACUCUCUAGAACAUGGCAACCAUGUAAUCUUCCUAACUGGAGCAGCACCGACCCGUUUUCCUGAUGAGAAACUGUGUUUAGCAUGUGGCUCUCUAGAACUUGGCAACCAUGUAAUCUUCCUAUCUGGAGCAGCACCGAACAAUUUUCCUGAAGAGAAACUGUGUUUAGCAUGUGGCUCUCUAGAACUUGGCAACCAUGUAAUCUUCCUAUCUGGAGCAGCACAGACCCGUUUUCCUGAUGAGAAACUGUGUUUAGGAUGUGGCUCUCUAGAACUUGGCAACCAUGUAAUCUUCCAAUCUGGAGCAGCACCGACCCAUUUUCCUGAUGAGAAACUGUGGUGAGUAUCGUUUAUAUCGCGAACAACAGAGCUAUGAAUAUUGAUACAACUUUGGUGAUGUUUCCAUUGUAUUUCCCAUGUGGCCUGAACAUUGCUAUCUAGAACACAGCCCCCAUGUAAUCUUUCAGAGCUAGACCCCUAUCAGCCCAUUUUCCAGAUUAGAACCCUGAGUCCAGGAUUUUGUAGUUAGUGAACAAAUUGGCUGUGUUUCUGGAUGUGAUGUUGAUGUUUCCAAUAUACUUCUCUUCAGUUUAGGACAUGGCUGUGUAGUACUCGGCCUCCAUAUAAUCUCAUCUAUCUAGACCACCAUCAGCCCAUUUUCCAGAUUAGAAACCGG